UUCAUCUUGUCAUUUUCUCAGAUCAAGAACGUCCAUUCCUUUGAUUAUGACUGGUACAAUGUAUCAGACCAGGCAGAUCUGAAGAGCCAGCUGGGUGAUGCCGGCUACAUAGUGUUUGGCGUGGUGCUUUUCGUGUGGGAGCUCUUACCCACCACUUUGGUGGUUUAUUUCUUCCGAGUCAGAAAUCCCACGAAGGAUCUUACCAAUCCUGGGAUGGUCCCCAGCCAUGGAUUUAGUCCCAGAUCUUACUUCUUUGACAACCCCCGAAGAUAUGACAGUGAUGAUGAUCUUGCCUGGAACAUUGCCCCUCAGGGACUUCAGGGAAGUUUUGCUCCAGACUACUAUGAUUGGGGACAACAAAAUAACAGCUUCCUGGCACAAGCAGGAACUUUGCAGCAAGACUCCACUUUGGAUCCAGACAAAGCAAGCCAAGGGUAGCACAGCAGCUGACACAGUCCUAUGGAAGAGUCCUCUACUGAAAACCUUCAGCCAGCCAGACUUGAUGACAGCUGAGUUUUUAAGGCAGUUUCCAUUCAGAAACAGAACUUUAUUUUUUGCUAGCUAUAGCUUUCUCAUGGCUCUAUAGGGCUAAGCAAUAAACCUUUAGUACUAGCAGAGAGCCUGGCUAUGUCAGUGAGUAUAAUUUAAACUUUUAAAAUCAAGAGAUUCUGUACUUUUAUAAAGAUGUAUUUUAUAUAACUUAAAUACUAAUGCUAAAGUAUACUAGGUUUUUCCUUGAUUGUUAAUUGCAAUGUAUGUUGUAGUUUGCACAAAUUUUCAUGCAUAAUUCACUUUAAAACGUAUAGAAUACGUGGUCUAAUAGUUUAAAGCUUUUGGAAAAGUUUCCACAAAUCUUACCUCUGAAGGUCACGUUUGUGAGUGCCACAGUGGUGUGCUCCUUUAACCGCCACUUCAGUGUUCAAGGUUAAGUGGCAGCAGAGUACCACGGUCUGGAUGUGAUGGGCUCAGCAGCAGCAGUUUCUCUUGAACUCUGUCCUAAGUCUGGUGCUUUUCUGAAAGCACUACUACACGCACUCCAGUAACAAGUGGAUACCGUCAGGAUGUAGUCACCCACACUAUUAAACCUCCUCUGCUGUGUGUGUAGCCAUUUUGUAGAGUUUCUUCAGCCUGGUGUAACUGAAUACUCACUACCUCAGUAGAUUGGGAGGACUGUGCCUUCCCCGACUCAGACAGUGCUCCCCGUAGUCAACGACAAGCCAAGAGGUCCCCACAGAGUAUUAACAAUAAAUGUUUCUGGGUUUCAAGCUCUAAAGGACUGUGGACUCCUGACAGCGUUUCUGUAAAACAUGCUUGUCAUUUGUGUGAGACUGACACGGUGCUCACUGACUUAUUUUUAAGUAGUAGUUCUGUCUAUUGAAAGCUGUAUGUGUGGAAAAGUGGCUCUGCCUAUGUGGUAGCAGCAUCCCUGUCUCAGCCAGAGAGUGUUGCAGACAAUGGUCCCCAUGUGCCAUCUCUGGGCUGCCCUGGGAAAACCCUGGAACCAAUGUGGCCCUCCUGGAGGCUGGAUGCUUUGGUUUCUCACAAAAUGCAUCAUUUGGUCCUAGACGUCACAGAGCCACAGACAGACAGUCAGUCAGUCAGUCUGUCUCUCUCUUUCACUCACUCACUUACACUUCACACAUUUCUCCUGCUGUGUCCUAAAGUUUGAGGAAAGAAAAAACAUAUCUGGGAAUGUAACUUAACAGGAUCAAGCCCACUUUUUCCUAUUUUGUUAUAUUUUAAAAUUGGGAGCCUAAAUUUCAAAAUGGGUUGUGAUUGAUUGGGUUUUUAUUAUAUGGAGCACAAAGUUGAAGACCUUGCAUAGCCCUGUACCACAUCUCUUUGCCUUUGAGUAAACUUCUGGGUUGCAGGCCAUUUAAAAUUGUUUCUUUGCCAGGGUGAAUUGUGGCAAAGCCUACACAAAUUGCCUAAAUCAGAAGUUUACAAUAGCAGCACAUAAGUUUAUCUGUCACUGUACCUGCAAUAAUUUGGCUAUUGCAGCCAGUGCACACAGCGCCUGUGUCCUUGUCUCCAGCAGGUCUGUACCUGCCAGCAGCCAAGGGCAAGGCUUUCUGGAAAGCACAGCAUCAUUAAGGUUGUUCUGUAUGCACUCCUUUUGUAGCACAUGCACCCUUUACAGCUGGUAUAUGCUAGGUGUCUGUAACAAACCAGCGAUAAUCCACCUUUACAACAAAGUUGUCAGUAUUCAUGUCAGCAGUAAAAAGACUACAGCUCUUAAA
rnacentral:lncRNA from 1 species